GGGCGUCGAGAGCGUUAAUGACCGACGACACCACCGACACCAAAAACCCCACGACACGCCAUGACGGCGGCGAUGUUGCAGCAGCAAGCAAGGAGCUAACGAGCCGGGACCUGGCCUGGCGAACGGAGUGUGCACAAGGAACGCAACAAACGUGGUUAAUUAACGUGGUAACGAAGCAGUAUCGUCGUCGUCGUGGCCAAAAUCACCAGAUUCGUGUGACAACUGGCAAGACACAACACUCCAGGUUUGCGGUCUUCGAGUUUCUGUGUUGGGUGUUUCUUGAGUUUCUUCGCUUCGAUGAGCCAUCGUAAGCUGCUGCUGCUGCAACUCCUUCUCCUCUUUGGCCUAGAGUCCAAUGCUGUUAAUGUCGUCUGUCAUGCCAAAUCUCGCUUGGUCGUCGACGUCGUCGUCGUCGUCGUGAAUGUCGCCAACACAGCGGGUGGGCUUCCGGGUAUACACAACACACGGUACAAGCGCUUUCGUCCGGUUCCCCGGUCCGAUGCAAAAGGUGCAAAACGUAGAGCAACGCGACGCACCGGUCGGUUGUCGGCCACAACAGCCACCACCACUCCACUCCGCCCAUGUUGUCGUCGAGGAAGGAGGCAAAAGCUAUUAUCAACACUUUCCAAUCGUCGUCUGCUGCGUCUCCAUAACUAGCUCCCUGACGGUGCCAUUACCUUUCGUGCAAAGGCGGAGAAGCAGCAGAAGAAGGGUGUUGCUGCAGAUAUUAUGAGACGAGAGGGGGCACACCACCAACGCGCGGUGGUCAUUCUACUAGCACGCCAUCUUCGAGAAAGCCCUAGGAGAAGCCGUCUAGGGGCGAGAGCGCCGCCGUGCAGACACGAUGAUGUACUGUUUAUCUUUAGCCAUUUUUACUCAACGCUGUCGUCGUAUUCUGGUACGUUAUGAAGCUAACUAGCUGCUACUCUUCGCUGGACUGGACUGUCCAGUCUAGAAGUCUUGUGCAAAAGGUGCUGGACAUUCGAUUAGCAGCCAGCGUUCUUGUGCAGGAUGCAUAUGCGCCUAGUGGCGGUAGUGGUGAGAUCACGAGUUCACGAAGUGCUUGUAACGCUGCAGCAAGCAAACCGUGUCUUGUUAGUUGGGAAGAGAGGGCCUCUGGACGAACAACAACCCAAAAUCCCAUUGUCAUCGAUCCACAAGAUGCAACCAGCAGAUAAGAAACGCUGAGAAGACCUGCAGCUCGGUAUUGCACCGACUGUCCUCUCUCUUGCUUUCUCUCUCUCUCUCUCUCUCUCUUUGGUGGUGAUGAGAUGGUCUCUCUCUCUUUCGCUCUAUAGACUUGUCGCUGCAUCUUCGAUGGAAUCUUGAAGAGUACAAAAAAAGGACAAGCACCAACGCACCAGAACUACUGGCCAGGAACUUGUGUCCGAAACCCAAACCGAAAACCAACAGAAGCGCACCAUGUCCAAACGCAAAGGGACACCAGAUGGGUCGCGCCCAACCAACACUACACUCGGGGACUCCGGGAUGCAGUUCCUUGCAAGGCGAAGCUCCGUCCGAAGAAAAAACCCCGAGAGAAUUUAUGGAAAAAGAAGAAAGAAAGGAAGGAUCCCACGCCAGAGCAAUCGCCAGCUUCUUGCUGUGUGGGUCGUCGUCGUCGUCGUCGCGGGCGCGGACGACGCAUUGCAAUCGAUCUUUUCCGUCCGUUUCGGGCUUCUCCGUCUUUACCAACCACUACUACUACUACCGCAACAACAACAAAAACCGGGGCCUCUCCUCUUGUGGUUGACUGGCUUCUUAUAUGUCCGUUCUUUUUCUCGAGCUCGAGAGGAUCGACCUUCGCGUGCGCGACGACUCCUCGAGAUGUUCUGAGGUUUAACUCGCUUCACGUUGCUCUGCGCUACCUCCCUACCUUCCUCCCUUCAUUGCCGGAUCGGAUCGGAUCGGAUUUCCCAAAAAACAAACUAUCCAAACGAGGUUUCGCCGCGCAACACCUCCCGCUGGUUUUUUUUGCUGUUGCUGCCAUCGUGCGCCAUCGCAACAGAACAGCAUGGCGGUAGUUUGGUUCCCGGAACCUAUCGCCCGGUUGGAACCAUAGAAGUGUCCUCUCCUUCGCCUUCGCCUUCUUCUGUGUGCGAGUCUCGAAGAUCGUAUCAAAAUACCACAAAAAUUCAAUAACGAUAUUUCUCUUCAAUUUAUCUCCAUCCUCUCGUCAUAAAGACUGUCGCGUCCGGCGUGGGAUGCGCUCGCUGGCUGGCGGCCCUCGGGCCGAAAAGCGUUCAAUUUCAAGUGAUUCCGGUGGUUCGGAUUUUAAAAAGAUUUCGAACUCUGUGUGUGCGGCGAGAGAUGCGCCGUUGAGGGACAAUACUUCCUUACUUAUCUGGGAACUAGAACCCAAGCACGAUCCGUGCCGAUCCUGAAGAAUAUUCUUUCAUUGGUUGAGAGCGAGAGCACUCCUCGUGUAAUUUCGAGGCUCAUCACUUAUAUUCUUUCGUAAUCGACGUAAUAUCGUCAUUCAGCGCAUGUUGGCUUUCCAGACAUUCCCAGUCUCAGUAUUAGCAUGUGACUAUUACUACUAUAAAGGUAUUGUAACUAUAGGUUCUAGCUUGACCCUUAUUCUCAAUUUUUUUGGAGAGUUGGCUGCUGUUUAAAACCAUAAAACGCAUCUUUUCAGUUAUAUCUACGUCGGUACUAAUUGAUUUGACCCUAAGCUAGAUAAAGUUCCCCACGAAUUUGAAUUUGUUGUCCCUUUAUUGUUUCGAAUUCCUAAUACAACACCAAAUGAAAUGCUACAAACGAAUUGAAGAGUUCAACAUAAAACACUGACAUCUUCCAGAACAGUCCAGUUGAUCUGUUCAAUCUCGCGUUCCAGGAACAGGUAAUGUACAAUGCCAAGCAUUGCCCCAUGUGGACCGAUGCCCGCGUCGUGUACAGUAUCGCGCGUCUUGGUUCCCCAAAACCCCAGGAAAAAAAAAAUCAUCUGCACGACACGCGCAACAUAACGAAGAAGGGGAUAGAGGUAGGAUACGGGAUCGGCAACGAACAGAGCAGAACAUGAUGAAUAUUUAAUCAAAACAAAACAAAUCUGACACUACGCGACGGAAGCGGGAAGAGACACGGAGCGAGAGGAGACAGGAGCGAGAGAGCAGUGUUGUUGGCAGUCACUAAAUCCCGGGGCAACAGGGAAGUAAGACAACUACACGGAACACGCGAGGAGCCUCUCUCUCGGAAUGCAGCAAGCAAGCAAGCAGCGCGCCACAGUUAGGCCCGUGUAUGGACUCCGCUGAGACUCCAGACUCCAGACCGGCGAGACGGCGGCGGCGGUGGACUCGAGGUCUCCUUAGUUAAACAACUUUACGCCCAGCGGGAGACGGCCUACGACGACGACCAUGUCGGUUCUGUGGUGCGGAGGUUCAUCCCUCCCGUCCAGGGACCAGACGUCGCCAUGCUGCUGCUGCUGCUGAUGCUGACAAACCAGCAUCAACCACCAAGAAGCCCGGCGAACCUGCUGCGCUACCCAAGGUAAAGGGAUUCCUCCUUCGUACAAUUCUCCAAGGAGUACGCCACGCUGUUACACACACAUACACUCUUUCUCUCUCUCUCUAUUGCUCCCUUUCUUCCACUCUUCUUGGCGUGUGUUUAUGUUCAUGUUCAUGUUCAGGUUGCAAGCGAGAUGUGAGAUGUAGCUGGUCUGAUGUCUGUCUUUCAAACACGACACGCUGCCUGCUUGUUGAACAUGUCCAGGAAUAUACAUAUAAUAUAUAUACGAAUGUGCUGCUGCUGCUGGUGCUGGAACAGUACAGCUCGGUCUCAUCAGACUCCGAACUCCAAUAACGGACACACGGGGCAUGGAGAACACAUGGAGUGAGAAGCGUUUAAAGGAUAUCUGAUUUCAGUAUUGCUCUCUCUCUCUCCCUUCGUUCUGCUGACCAAAGGCGUCGUCAGUCAACUCAGAUAUCCUGCCGUUGAUGGCCGUCGUAGAUUUCGCAGGAAUAUCCCUUGCCCGUUGUUUUCAUACCUGAUCUCGCGACUUCUCUUACACCUCAGGAACUCGGGGAACGGCCAUAAGGCGUGAAUACCACCGCGUGACGAGAGAGAGAAAAGGAAGAGAGCUACACAACCGGCUCGUUACACCUCGUCCAAAUCCCAAACGCAAACGAAUGUACCCCGUCGUCGUGGUGACAACGACGGAGCGCAGCUAAGGAGGAUAUGUAAAGCGCGUCUGUUGUAGCGCGCUCAGCGGGAUCCGGUGACUCCGGUAUGCGGCAGCACAGCUUAGCUGCGGUCCGAGGUGUCCGCAGGGGUCACUACAAACGACGGGAUGUUUAUGAUUGCCCCCCGUCAAUAUCCUUUUCCUCUAGGGUAGAGAGAGAGAGACCCCGUGUGUUUGGUAUGUUUGGUUGUCCCUUCGUGCGCCUACGUUUCGAACACACCUCGUUAAUUCCAUUACAUACCCAAGUUGUAUAUAGGUAUUUCCGGAUUUGUACCAAGUUGUGGCACAAGUUGUGUUAAACACCGCAGAGGAUCACAAACGACACUUGAGCGAGCAAAAGGCAAACGCACGCGAUGAACCUUGGAAAAUGACAAGACGCCAAAGACGACGCCAAACGCGAGAAGAGGAUAGCUGGAAGUCAGCGAUCCAUGAUGGUGCGCGUUCUGUGCCUUUCACGGCCGUCGACGACGCCGAUGACGACGAUGGCCAAGGAGCAGGGGCGCGCGCUCGCGACGUGUGCUCGAUCAUCGGGAGCAUCAUCAGGCUGGCUGGCUGGCUGGUUGGCAACAUCAUCAGCAUAAACAUCAGGGCACGGCACCGUUGGCACCCUGCGGGCGUACGCGGCCGACUCCCGCCGUCGAGUCCCAGUCGCAGAUUCACGGAAAACGCAACCUAACGGGGACUCCGCUCCGAAGCUGAGGGGAUAAAAUUGGAAAUGCCCCAAGAGGGAGAAGAAGAGCGAGAUCGCGCAAGAAGGGCGAUCGCGCUGACGUGCGUGUGUGUGUUUUGGUUCGCGAAGCAUAAACAAGCGAAACAUGGUUGGCGUUGAAAGGAGGUGGAUCGGAUUUUAGGAGGGUGCAGACGUGUGCAGCAGUUGGCGAGGGCGAAGAGAGGUGAUCCUUCAGGUUUUGCGGCGAUCGCGAUGCGUAAUCUUUUUGCGUCAUCGCCACCAUCUCCCAACACACGCGGACACGCAGCUAGACAGAUGGUGUGUUGUCUACUAGCGUGAAGACAGAGAAAGGACACAACGCGAAACAGAUGGGGGGGAGAGAAUUUCCAUUUUUAAAUCCGAAUCGAUUUCGGUCGAUGCAGCAGCGCCGAUGUUUAGCCGAGUCUGCGAAACUUGUGUGGCGUCAAAUAUCCGGGAAUGUUUGAAUCCCGUAUCUUGGAUUCUUCACCAUUUUUGCAGAUAAAAGAAGAAAAAAAAUCGCAUCACUGGACACGUGAGUGCAAUCCAAUUGUCUUCCAUACACACACACACACACUUAACGGAUGAGCUAAACGAAACGGCCUCGCGUAAAGUAAAUGCCUCCCGGGUGCCCUCAACGAGAGCUCGAAACGAUAAUAACACACUCUUCAGCGCGGCGGCGGAUGCAAUAAUGUGCGUACAUUUACUCGUCGCACGACGUGGAUCACUUUGCUCGCGAUGCACUUGCACUGCGCGGUGCACGAUCGCGAAGAAAAAGGUCGCAAAGACCACCUCUGCUCCUCCUCCUCGUCAGCAUCUCCGUAUCCAUCCCCGUCGCUGCAGCUGUGCACCUUGCAUCACUGCAUUAUCGCCCACCACUACCACCAUCAGCAGCAGCUCGCGACCCGAUUUCACUGCACCACUGCAGGUUCUUGGCCCACGGAACUGGAGCCAAGGACUUUACUCCGAAACAGGGAAUGGAAGAGAACGAUAAGAGCAGCAGCAGCAGCAGCAGGCGAAACACGUUGCUGCUGCUGCUGCUGUAUGCAAAAGGACGAAAACAUUGAACAUAUAUCCGCAAAAACAUAAUUUGCAGUUGUUGCUGUACGCGGAGCAGAGACCGGCAAAGGCACGGCGCCGCACUCCAAGUACCCUCAACUCUUCAACUUCAACUCGGCACUUAUGCUGCUGGAGCUGGGGUCUGGUGUUUCCAUCCAGCGCCACCCGGCUGCUGCUUUGUGCCGUCUCCUUCAUCUCCUCAUCCUUCUUUGGUUUAAUUGAAUCUCAACAAGGCAAACGAGAGGGGCGGGGAGGCUCUCGCUGGUUGCUGGCUGGCUGGCUGGCCGCAAAUUCGAAUCGAAUGUUCCACACACCACCAUCACCAGCAGCAGCAGCGAAUGAAGCGCCCCGAAAUGAAUGAGGUGAUGAUAGCUGGGUACAGUCUGUUACAGAGGGGUCCGUGAACGCGCGCACGCACGUUUCUCUCUCCUUUUUACACACUGCUGCUGGUGCUGCUGGUGCUGGGGCCAUGGUCAGCAACACAGACACAGACUGGCCCGGCCAUGGUCAUGUAAAUGUAAUUAUUAUUCUCAUUUGUGCUGUAUGCUUGUUUGCAAAUAAUGCAAAUCAACUGGAGGACCACGCACGCAAACCACCAGCAAACCACCGGCAAGGCAUAUAAACAGCAAAUGAUGUAUUUAUGGUGGUGUGCAGGUUGGGGGCUUCCGAAAAAUUAUGCGAAACGAAUCCUUUUGUUCGCACGCACACACACUCCGGGUGACAGAUCUGCAGGAUAUGGAUGGAGAAGCUGUACUGGAGAUAGUCCAGUUUACUUGCAGAUUGGUUCAAACGAAAAGUAUCUGAAAUACACACCAUUUUGACUGUUUGACAUAAAACUAGAUCAUGAGAAGAUUGAGUAUUAUUCACAAAACUACCAUCUUUGUUUUAUCAUACAAGGAUACCGAUGAUUUGAAGCCAGCUAGAGAAAAGUAGAAUGAAAAAUGUUAUUGCUAGGUUGUAUGAAAUGCUAUCAUUACGCUCAAUCGGAUCCAACAUCUGGAUUCUGGAUUCGGUUAUUUAAAAGACCAAAUAAUGCACAAACAAAGAAUUCUAUGCGUCACUGGAUGAUGAUCCAAUUGAAUUUUCGAGAACAUAGUAUUACAGACAUUGCAAACAUCAGAAAAAACAAUGGAGAUAUCUACGAAAACUUCAGAACUACUAGAAAUAAACAUGAUCCUUGGAAUUGAAAGAAGAAAUGAGAAGCAACAUGGAGAACAGAUAAACUAACUAUGACAUUCUUCGGCGGUACUAAAGGAGAUCAGUUUUGCACAAGCAUGGCUUUCACUAGAUAAAGACGAUACAUCCAUUGCACAACUUAAACCAUUUCAAUCAAAAGACGAUCUGAAGUUUGAGGCAACAAAAGACUUGAGACAAUAUCUUGGUGUACCCUGAACUACAAAAAUAGUGUUACCUUGUAGUUAGUGGAGAUAAUUACCAACAAGUGCUCAAGAAUUUGAAAGUUAUCCUGAUGAAUAAAAUAGAA